UAAGGACUGCCUGCAAAAUCUGAGAUUGGGCUUUGAAAGACAUCAACCUUUGCUUGCGAGAGAUAAUGGUAACUGCAGAUGCUAGAGAAUGCGAGAUAACAAUGUGUGGAGCUGGAUGAACACAGCAGGCCAAGCAGCAUCUCAGGAGCACAAAAGCUGACAUUUCGGGCCUCGACCCUUCAUGCGAGAGAACGUAACGUUUUUAAAGAAGAAAUUGCCCCAGUCAAACAAGAAGUCAAAAUAUUAAAUGAUCUGGCCAGUCAAUUAUCUCCGCUUGAUGUCUCUUUCUCUCCAAAGAUUUCUCACCAGCUUGACGACCUAAAUAUGAGGUUGAAAUUUAUACAGCAGCAGGAGGUGAGGAGGCAGAGACUGCAACCCUGAGGUCACGGACGGAAGGAAAAGAGGCUCUUACUUGGAGAUUGAGAAGCAGGAGAGGGCACAACCCAGAGGUUUGGGAGUGGAGAGAGGCUGCAAGUUGGAGGUCAAGCCACCAGACUCAGAGUACCUGUUGGGACCAUCCAAAAAUGACUGAACAUUUUCACUCAUUAAGUAAGUAGAUUGAUAAU